CAAUAGCGUAUCUUAAAGUUGCUGCAGUUAAAAAGCUCGUAGUUGGAUCUCGGGGCCGGGCUGACGGUCCGCUGAAAGGCGUGUACCGACUGACUCGGCCCCUGCCCUCGGCGCCCCCUCGAUGCUCUUGGUUGAGUGUCUUGCGGGGUUCGAAGCGUUUACUUUGAAAAAUUAGAGUGUUCAAAGCAGGCCCAGUUGCACGAAUACUGCAGCUAGGAAUAAUGGAAUAGGACUCCGGUUCUAUUUUGUGGGUUUUAAAUCAUGGACUGGGGCCAUGAUCGAGAGGGACGGCCGGGGGCAUUCGUAUUGCGCCGCUAGAGGUGAAAUUCUUGGACCGGCGCAAGACGGACGAAAGCGAAAGCAUUUGCCAAGAAUGUUUUCAUUAAUCAAGAACGAAAGUCGGAGGUUCGAAGACGAUUAGAUACCAU
rnacentral:rRNA from 1 species